rnacentral:lncRNA from 1 species
AUGCCACAGCUAUGACAAUACUGGAUCCUUAACCACUACACCAGGCCAGGGAUUGAACCCAUGCCUCUGCAACAACUUGAGCCACUAUAGUCGGAUUCUUAACCCACUGCACCACAGCAGGAACUCCUGAACUGAGAAAUUUUCAGAUCUCAAAUUGUCCAGAAUCCCAAAGUUUGACAACAUACCCUCUUUAUUUACACUUUCAUAUUCUGUCCAUGGAUGUAUAUAUAAUCUUUAUGAGGAGCUAUUAGGCCACAUAUAUCAAUAAAAAAUGCAUACACUCUCUAGGAGUUUCCGUCGUGGCACAGUGGUGAACGAAUCUGACUAGGAACCAUGGGGUUGCAGGUUUAAUCCCUGGCCUCGCUCAGUGGGUUAAGUAUCCUGCAUUGCCAUGAGCUCUGGUGCAGGUCGCAAACACAGCUCGGAUCCCAUGUUGCUGUGGCUGUGGCGUAGGCGGGUGGUUACAGCUCCAAUUGGACCCCUAGCCUAGGAACCUCCAUGUGCCUCAAGUGCAGCCCUAGAAAAGACAAAAAGGAAAAAAAAAAUGCAUAUACCCUCUGAUUCAGCUAUUUUCUUUUUUGUUGUUUUUGGCCAUGUCCACAGCAUGCAGAAGUUCCGGAGGCAGGGACCAAACCCAAGCCACAGCAGUAACAACACCAGAUCUUUAAACACUAGGUGACUGGGGGAACUCCUGAUUCAGCUGUUUUCAAUCUCAACAUUAACCCCACAGAAACAGUUACAAAAGUGAGAAAUAAUAUAUGCACAAGUAUAACAAUGUAUAUUCUUUGUAACAAGAAACAACUGAGACCAAUCCACAUGAACAUCUACAGGGAAUGACUAACAAAUUACAUAAUAUCCACACAGUACAGCUGUAACAAAAGGAUGGGAAGGCUUUUCAUCUACUGCUCUGGAAUGAUCCUAAAAAAUACUAUUAAAUGAAAAGAAAAUGCUACUGGGUAAAAUGAAAAGAUGGGAAAGGAGUACCCAUACUCACAUAUCUGCUUAUACAAGCACUAUCACUGGAAGAAUACGCAAGAAACUGACAGCACUGGUGACCCUAAAGAGUGCGACUAUGCCAUGGAGGUAAGAAGGAACAGGUUCACACCAUUCUCUUUUCAUUACAGCCCAGGUGAACAGAAAACCUACUAAGAAAUGAAUUCAGGAGUUCCCAUCGUGGCUCAGCCGUUUGGUUACCGAACCCGACUAGCAUCCCUCAGGACUCGGGUUCAAUCCCUGUCAAGUUCAUUACCACUGAGCCACAACGGGAACUUCUACACUCAUUUUUUAACUAUCC